UGGUCCAUGUUAUGGCCUUUCUAACCCGUUCUUUCAUCGUCUUCCUCUCAACAAAGACAUUCUUGUUUUCUCGAGCUAGGCGGAGAUUAACCCUCGAGCGCGAAACUAGAACGAGAGCUUGGCUACAAGACCCACCUGUGAAAUCCCACAUCGAGAUGUUGGAGAGGAGAACAUAGCAUUCCUUGUAAAAUUGUGAGGUUAACAGCGAUAUGCAAGGGCUCUUACAAGUGGUAUCACAGCUAGUCAUUGGGCGGUGUGCUAGCGAGAAUGCUGAGCCCCUAAAGGGUGGAUUGUGAGGUCCCACAUCGGUGGAAGAGGAGAACGAAACAUUCUUUAUAAGAGUGUGGAAACCUCUUACUAAUAGUCAAAAUAGACAAUAUCUAUUAGCAGUAAUUUUGAGCGGUUACACACUCUGUGGAAGGGUCAUCACUAAUUCUCUUAUUAUCUACUUUCUUUAGAACGUGUUCUUGCAUGGUUGCUCAAAGCUUCAAAGAACUAAAAAACCCGAGAAGCCAUUCGAACCGAACCGAAUCAAAUCGAACUAAACCUAAGCGGUUCGAGAGAGAGCUUUCUAUUUGAAUGAAAAUGGUGGGUUAGAGAGAGAAGAUUCCUUAAUCACCUUUCCUUUUUACCAUCAAUGAUGAUGUUCAUUUUGCAUCUCCUACAUUUCUGUGAAAAACGUUAAAUAUUUGUCUCUUUCUUGCA